CCUACGGGAGGCAGCAGUCGGGAAUAUUGCGCAAUGGAGGAAACUCUGACGCAGUGACGCCGCGUGCAGGAAGAAGGUUUUCGGAUUGUAAACUGCUUUAGACAGGGAAGAACAAGGACAGUACCUGUACAAUAAGCUCCGGCUAACUACGUGCCAGCAGCCGCGGUAAU
rnacentral:rRNA from 1 species